rnacentral:rRNA from 1 species
CAGCCGCCGCGGUAAUACGGAGGGUGCAAGCGUUAAUCGGAAUUACUGGGCGUAAAGCGCACGCAGGCGGUUUGUUAAGUCAGAUGUGAAGUCCCCGAGCUUAACUUGGGAACUGCAUUUGAAACUGGCAAGCUAGAGUCUUGUAGAGGGGGGUAGAAUUCCAGGUGUAGCGGUGAAAUGCGUAGAGAUCUGGAGGAAUACCGGUGGCGAAGGCGGCCCCCUGGACAAAGACUGACGCUCAGGUGCGAAAGCGUGGGGAGCAAACAGGAUUAGAGACCCGCGUAGUCCCUGUCUCUUAUAC